CAAUAAGUUUGGGUCACAAUCUUGAGCGCAUAAAUUGAGGCAAACGACUAACUAUUCAGUAUUUAAGAUUAGGUCAAAAGCUAAGGUGAUGAAUAAUAUUGAGGGGGUAAUUUUUUUCAGAAUUUUUAAUAUUAAAAGAAAUUCUUCAAUUCUCCAUAAUUUUCCAGCAAAAGCUCUGCCGGAACCCGGCAAACCACCCCUUAAAUCUCCCAUGAUACCUAGCUGGCCAGUAGCUCACACAAACCCACCACCACCAUCGAUCCUUUGUUCUUCAACACAAGAAAUCAAACCCCUUUCAUUUUUCCCCAUUUUCCCGGCCACAACGCUGAAACAACCUCUCCCCCAAACCAACUUAAAUCACCCCUAAACGAUUCCAUUAUUUUUCUAUUCUCUGUCCGGAAAACCAAAUACUCAAACAACAAACCUGAGAAAACCAACCCCAAAACCCCUUCAUCUACUUGGUUACAACCAGACCCAUAUCGUUGUGAUACCAAACUUCGAUCAGCAAAAACCAUACCCCGACCCAAAGCUGCGAACUCCAAGGAAGCAUACAUUAACUGUGGGCUCGAAGCUCAACCCUUUUUCUGCGUCAGCUCUGAGCUACAGCUGCCCGCAACCACGCCGGAACGACGGUAAAAAAAAUUCGAAUCUCCAGACUCCAACUCCGGUGAAUGACCCGCUGUCGCAACAUUAAAUUCGGUACCCAGAGGUGCUUCUCCUUGAAAUUAUUCGAAUGUAGUUUGAAUCAUACUUUUUAUUCAUAUUUUGUAUAUAUUGACGUUAGACAGACUUUAGGUCGUUUCUUAUAUUUUCUUAUUUUAUUAUUUGUGCAUAUUGAAUGUUUAUUAUACUUGUA